GAAGGAUUUUAUUUGGAGAUCUGCUCUGUUGGAGUUUUGUAGAAGAGGACGUGGUUUUCUGCAUACUUACUUUGAGUUCAUCAGAAGCUGCCCCAUUUGAACAGAAGGUCAAACAGCGGAUGGAGCCCGCCUGUCCCCAGCAUGCCCUCUGCAAUGGUGGAAAGAAGGCUGAAACAAUGCAUGUCACAGCCCCUAUUAAGCUAAGAGCAUCUUACUUUAUCUGCUUCUUGUCAUCAGGUUUCAAUAAUUCUCCAAAGAGGAGUAUCUCAUUUGCAUCCCACAGGACGAAAGAGCACUUGAUUUCUUGCAAUACAAGUGAUAUUUUACAGCACGCCUAUUUCUUCUGGGCCAGGAGAAAGCUUUAAUUUAAGAUCAGAGGGGAAAGAAAAGAAAUUUUACGUUGAUGGAUCUUUAAAGGAAUGUCUGCCUGAACCCCAUUCAAAAGAAAAUUCAUAGAUGAAAGUUCUGGUUAGACUGAGGAAGAAUUGUCACCGCUCCCUUUUAGAAAAAUAUUAAAUCUGCAGUUGACUAUUCUUCUAAAAUUCAAAGUCUGUGUCCGAUUUUUUGGUGAGAAUAGAGUGUAAGUGCCUGCACCUACCUAUUCUUCAUUGACCUUUCAACUUUCUUACUGUCGGGGGACACAAAUUCUGUGAUCCUGUCCUCGUGCUGUUUCUUUUGUCAUUAUCUAUGAUUCAUCUUCCCUAGGACUUGUCAAACUUGAGUUAUUUUUAAUCCUUUUCUGGGCCUCCCUGAAGGCAUUAUAUCAUAUCUCUGGACACCACGCAUGAUCUCCUACUCCCUAUUGUCCUACCCUAUUCAGAUUCCCUGUGUUUCUUUGCUACCCCUGACAUGGUGCCAACUAUU